rnacentral:rRNA from 1 species
AUAGCGUAUAUUAAAGUUGUUGCAGUUAAAAAGCUCGUAGUUGAACUUCGAACCUGGUUGGGUGGUCUGCCUUCAUGGUAUGUACUGCUUGGCGGGGUUCUACCUCUUGGUGAGCCAGCAUGUCCUUUACUGGGUGUGUUGGGGAACCAGGACUUUUACCUUGAGAAAAUUAGAGUGUUCAAAGCAGGCUUAUGCUCGAAUACAUUAGCAUGGAAUAAUAAAAUAGGACGUGCGGUUCUAUUUUGUUGGUUUCUAGAGUCGCCGUAAUGAUUAAUAGGGAUAGUUGGGGGCAUUAGUAUUCAGUUGCUAGAGGUGAAAUUCUUGGAUUUACUGAAGACUAACUACUG